rnacentral:rRNA from 1 species
GAUGAACGCCGGCGGCGUGCCUAAUACAUGCAAGUCGAGCGAACGGACGCGAAGCUUGCUUCUCUGAUGUUAGCGGCGGACGGGUGUGUAACACGUGGAUACUCUCCCUAUAAGACUGGUAUAACUUCGGGACACCGGAGCUAAUACCGGAGAAUAUUUUGAACCGCAUUGUUCAAAAGUGAAAGACGGUCUUGCUGUCACUUAUAGCUGCAUCCGCGCUGCAUUAGCUAGUUGGUAAGCUAAAGGCCUACCAAGGCAACUAUGCAUAGCCGACGUGCGAGGCUGAUCGGCGGCACUAGAAGUGAGACGCGGUCCAUACUCCUACGGUAGGGCGCAGUAGCGAAUCUUCCGCAAUGGUCGAGAGCCUGACGGAGCGACGCCGCGUGAGUGAUGAAGGUCUUCGGAGCGUAAAACUCUGUUAUUAGUGAAGAACAGAUGUGUAAGUAACUGUGCACAUCUUGACGGUACCUAAUCAAAAAGCCACGGCUAACUACGUG